AUGACAGAGUUCGACGGAAACUAAAGUGAUGCCCCACGUUGUCUUAUUCCUCCAUUAUUAUAUUCGGGUUAACACUGUAUACACGCUAUACAAUCCACAUCUGCUAACAAAUCGGCACACGAUGGAUGAAUUAUGAGGCAAUAGGCCGGAAGUACUGAUGAUGCAAAAACACACGUCGUACAUACACGGCAUAAAGUUGGUGGAGAGAAGCUUGUCUCUUUGUAUACACAGACAUAAUAUAUAUGUUUUUACUGUAGCAUAUGGGUGUGGUUGUCUUUGUAAAACUGCCUCUAAUAGUCGUCAAAUUCAAACAUGUUCAGACCAGCCGGCAACCAAACUAUCAUGAACACAAAUACACUCCAGUCAUGUUUGUUUGGCAUCUUGGCGUUGACCCCGUCGCGCACGCGCACCUGGACAGAGGAGGAGAUUGUGGGAGUCGAGGAUAGCAGGUGUCUCCUGACUAGUCAGGUGAUAGAUUUGUGCUUGUUUUCGUUGAAACAAAACAGCUGUAGAGGUGUCCUGUGGACCAAGGCCUAGAUUGGAUACACAGUGUGACUUUGGCUUUCUCUAAUAUCGGCUUCUUCACACAUUAAGGCCACAGCUCCUCCUCCACCACCACCUCCUCCUAAAUGGAAAGCAGCCUCGUAGUAUUCGUCCUCCACUGACCCCUGAGUUUGCUGCAAUACCAUUUCCCUCUGAUUACAGCCCUUCGGUCCAAGAGACAAGUCCUCCACCGAAGGCUACGCACGGUGGAGAGGAUGCACCACUGCUCCCAGUUCAAAAUGGGCCGCCGUCUUCUCCUUCAGAAGGACGAGAAGACAGUCUGUCUGAUGGUGAGGAGCAAAAAUACCCAGUGCAGGAAACUGACCUUACAGCAGAGGACAGAGCGGCAAGAUGAAGAAGCCAAUCGGACGGACCAGGCCGGACCUUGAGGUCCAGUCGACCUGAAGCUCUUCAGUUACUUAAAAACAAAGAUCUACAUUCGCCAGUACUUUAAAAUGCUGUUCUGUUACGUGGUACACUUAAGUGAGCACUUUGCUUUAUGUUCAGGCCAAAGAUGUUUGAAUAUGUUACUUCAGCUGAAUUCAUAAUUCAGUGCUUUGCUUUUUUUUGUUCAUGUACGUUAUUGUGCCUUUGAGAAACUCUAAAGCUGAAAAAUAGAUUUUCUUUUAGUGAUGUAACCAUAACAAUCUAAAAUGAUCUUUUUGCAAAGAACCCUCCUCACUCUAUAAAUGAUGAGGGCCGGGUAAAAGCACUUUGCGUCUGCAUUUUUGCGGCUAUUUAUUACCUCAAGGUAAACUUUACUGGUCAGAUUCCUUGUAAUUAGGAGUGCGGUGAAAACAGUUCUAUAUCCUCUUUCUACGGUCGGAGACUUUUUGAAGCCUGAUCUACAAACGGGGGACAUGGAGUUUGAAAGACACGGGAAUUAACCCAGCACGGAUAUGUGUUGGUUCAAUUAAAGGUGCAAUAUGCAAGAGUGGGAGACUCUUUUCCUUCCUUUGUUCUCGUGAACGAAGCCGAAUCCCGUAUGUUGCACCUUUUGUGGAGAUGGAAAUGGAGGAUCAAGCCUUUCAUGAAAAAAGUCGGGAUAUCUCGACCUCUAGGCUUCAAUUUUAAACUCUAUUUUAAUAUGUUGCCUCAGAGUUCCCCACUACUAUUCUGUAAGAAUACUCUUUUAUUCACAGUAUAUCCUCAAACCUAGAGUACUUGAAUUGAAAGUAUACUGUAAUUAAAUUUCUUUUGAUUAUUAUCACAUAUUUGUUUAUUUAAAUGCACAUUUUAAAGAAAUUUAACUGGUCACUUUCCAAAUUGUUUCAUGAAAUAAACUUGUGUGCUUUGCACUUCUUGAGUGAAGGCUUUAUAAUCCCAAUAUGACGUCUAUAAGAGUCGACAGCUACGCUAGCGUGCCGACAUGCUCACCGUGAAGUAUAACACACACCAUCUCAGUUUAGUGCGCAUUUGCUUAUUAUCAGUAAUGAUUUACAGAAUGAACCUUACAGCCACUUUGCUUGUUACAUCAUGCAGCUAACGAGCGGACUUUGGUCGGUGGAAAUAAAGACGCAGCACACAGCGAGAUGGUACAGUCAAGAACAUCCUUUUUUAUUCAAUCAGGUGCUGCUCUUCUCAAACUGUGUUUUUCUUCUUAUGGAAAAGAAACUGUAAUUAACACAUGCAUUUCACCUAGAGCUCUGGGGGUGUUCUCACAAAGAAGUGGUGCUGCACUGAGGGCGUUAGACAGGCGUAGAAGAGCUGGGGGUCAGGGGGCCUAGGGUGCUGCCUAUUACACCGAUAACCAUACACGCUUAAGAAGAUCAAGGGAACAAAAUGAACAACAGAACAGACACGGAGCAGUCCAGCAUGAGGUGGUCAGAGGAGGCUAAUGGAGGGACUCCCCUGAUUCCUCAAAUAUCUGAGGGAUCAGGUUCACGCUGGCCUUUUUAUCGAUCUGUUUGGUGUGUUGUAAGUGGAUAAUACUGCUGGGCCGUGAACAAUAAUACUUCACUUCAUAAGAUUGGUUUAAAUGGAUGUGGCUAUGUCCUGGAAAUGCAAUCCCCCCCCGUCCACCUCUUUCAGCCUCGUGCAGGACAAGUCCGGUUAUAAGGUGCUUGUAGCUUUCAAUUACAGUCCAAAGGCCUCCUCGAGGAGGGCCUAAACGACAGCAUACCCUGA